CACAUUUCGACGGUUGGCAGACUUGACGGAAACGGGAAGAAGUGGAACCAUGAAUAACAUAGGACCUUCUGACUGCUAAUUUGAACUCCACAAGCAUCAUGUCGAUGGCAGAAGGGACAUUAUCAUUCGUUGCUUAGUUGAGUAUCUUGGAGAGAGUGGAGAGGAGCUGAUCAAAGA